UUGAACUUGAGUUUUUGUUGUAUUUGAACUUGAGUUUGUUUUUUGUUUUUGAACUUGUGUUUGUGUCGUGUUUGAACAUGAGUUUGUGGCGUUUGUUGAACUUGAGUUUGUGUAGUGUUUGAACUUGAGUUUGUGGUGUUGUUGAACUUGAGGGUUUGGAAUUAUUUAAACAUGAGAAUCAGGUGUUUGUUGAACUUGAGUUUGUGUGUUUGUUGAACUUGAGUU